rnacentral:lncRNA from 1 species
GGAGACCUUACAAUUCAUCAACACCCAUACCUUGGUCACUGACGAAGCAGGUCAGAUGGAAAAGGGCAGCAAAAUCUCCUUCAACUUACACUUUUUCGUCUUUAUGUGUAACAAAACUCCCUCUUUAUUACUCUUGUGCUACUCUAGUAUUUCAGUUUCUGCACCUGCAAAAAGUGGGGAUAUUGUUAGGAGGAUAUUCAUGGUUCACUCUAGAGUUCUUUGGGUGCGUUUGGAACAGCUUAGUCUUGUGCAAAAGCUAGCUGCCUACAUAAGCUCUAGAUAAGCCGCAGUAAGAAUAAAAUGGGGGGUGUUUAGAGCUGUAUGUUUGGAACGGCUUAUGAAUUUGGGUUUAUUGACAUUGAAAUUUAGUUGUACUCCUGGAACUUUCAAUUACCACAGUACCAAAUGUACAACACGCUACUGUAUACUUGCCAUUUCUGAACUUUAACAAUCAUUAGUUUGAAUGAACACUUGGGCAAAAAAAUCACAAUUUUUAGCACUCCAGGAUCCAUGACCUAAGUAGUAACCACAAUCCACAAACCAUGACCAUCGAAACAAGCUUUAUGUAGCUAGAGUUCUGGACGUAGGUAUUCAAAUAAAUCAUAUUUAUUUUUACCAGCUAGUAAAGCAUGUGCAAAUCCAAAUUCUGAAAUGUAUAAUUAUUAAACAUUUGCACUAACUGAAACUUCCAUAAACAAACAAAUGCACUCAGGUUGGUUCGAGCUGUCUGCAACGGACGAAGCACAAACAAAUAUCUAAUUUGGAACGCGAAUAUGUUCUUAAGGCAUAAUAAACUGCUAAUCGCACAUCAUUCAUUAUUUUUGUAUUUUUUCUGCUCCCUUAUACACAUAAUUUAGAGAAAAAAACUGAUCUAUGUAGUUCCUUCUCAAUAUGCAAUUAUUUAGAGUGAAAUGACGAACUGCUCUAUCUCAUCUAAGAAAUAACACACUAAUUUAAUUGCGUGAAAAUAAUACAUGGAGGGAAGUUGCCGACGACGUUGCUGAUCCCGCUACAUGAGUGACUCCUGCUCAGGGCAGUGGUGGCGGCCUACAGGCAAGCUCGGGACAGGGUGGGACGAGUUGUGCAUUAUCGUACGCGGCGGCCAGGCUAUGUGUCGAGCACCUUGCGUGCAGUGGUGGUGUCCUGUGGACGAGCACAGUGCAGCAGCGGGAUGAGCUUAC